ensembl:processed_transcript 1500012K07Rik RIKEN cDNA 1500012K07 gene
AAAGAAGCGCGCAGCCCGGGGCAGCAGCAAGUGCUCCUUUUUCGGUGCGCUGCUUUCCAACUCUGCUGCCCUUUGAGGCUUUUCCUAACAACCGCACCCAGAGGUCCCAGCAUGCCAGGCCUGGGAGCCCCGCACCACCGCGAGAAUCGCCGUCCCCUACCUGGGUGGAAAAUCCGCAGCGAGCCGGUCAGCAGCCGAACACCGCACUGGCAAAGCCUCACAGGAGACAGCUAUAUCAGGAUCCCUUCAGCAAAAUCUUGCUGGCAUAUGCAAUAGUGUCUGCAUUUGGUGGCUGAUUAUGGGAUGGACCCCCAGAGACAAAAAGACUCGGGACCAUUUCUCAUUGGCAGUAGCAGCAAAACACUGGAAAUCACUUUAAUGUUCAACAUGAGGGGAGUUUUGAAGUCAAUAGUGGCGUAUAGCUGCAUGUGACGAGACACUUUAAAGUGUGAAAGCACUUUCUGGAAGAUGAUUUAAUGGAGAGGAGAAUGUAUAUGAGAAAACACAGCCUCCGACCUGAGUCUACAGAGUAACUCCAAUAUGCAGAUGAAGAUGAGAGUUUCAUGCUUCAAGGAACUGAUUUUAUACAAUUCCUCCAAAGUCUGGAGCAUAGGAUUUCAAUGUAGCCUCUCUACUGCCCUUCCAGGGGUCAGAUAGGCUUGCAAAUGUUUGAAGAGUAACACUGACCACACAAAGUCAUCCAGACAGACUAGCAGAGUCUCAGAGAACAGAUGGCCAAUGAGAGAAU